rnacentral:rRNA from 1 species
CUAAGGGCUUUCGGUGGAUGCCUUGGCGCCAAACGCCGAUGAAGGACGUGGGAAACUGCGAUAAGCCUCGGGAAGCCGUUAACAGGCGUUGAUCCGGGGAUUUCCGAAUGGAGAAAUCCGCUGUGGCGAACCCACAGCAUCCUCUUGCUGAACACAUAGGCUUGAGGAAGGGAACCUGGGGAACUGAAACAUCUAAGUACCCAGAGGAAAAGAGAUUAUUCCCCUAGUAGUGGCGAGCGAACGGGGAUCAGCCCAAACCAUCUGUGCUUGCACAGGUGGGGUUGUAGGGCCUGGCACAUGGAAGUUACAAAACGGUCGAAUAGCAGAAAGGUGUGGGAAAGCCUGCCAAAGAGGGUAACAGCCCCGUAAGCGAAAUUUGACCGACUUCCGUCAGGUACCUGAGUACUGCCGUGCACGCUAAUACGGCAGGAAUCCGGGGAGUCCACUCUCCAAGGCUAAAUACGUUUGGCGACCGAUAGCGAACAAGUACCGUGAGGGAAAGGUGAAAAGUACCCCUGUUAGGGGAGUGAAAUAGAACCUGAAACCGAAAGCCUACAAGCAGUCGAAGGGCUAACAGCGUGUCGGUGCUCCGGUGAAAGCCGGGUGCGCGGCGCUAUGCCUGACGGCGUGCCUCUUGGAGAAUGAGCCUGCGAGUUAAUCUCAGUGGCGAGGUUAAGGGAGUUACACCCGUAGCCGUAGCGAAAGCGAGUCUUAAUAGGGCGUAUAGUCGCUGGGAUUAGACACGAAACCGGGUGAGCUACCCAUGGCCAGGGUGAAGCGAGUCUAAACGCUCGUGGAGGCCCGAACUCACUAACGUUGCAAAGUUAGGAGAUGAGCUGUGGGUAGAGGUGAUAUGCCAAACGAACUCGGAGAUAGCUUGUUCUCCCCGAAAUAGCUUUAGGGCUAGCGUCAUGUGUUUAGUGCCGGAGGUACAGCACUGAAUGGGCUAAGGGGCUUACCGCUUACUGAACCCAAUCAAACUCGGAAUGCCGGUACUCCAAGCAUGGCAGUCGGACGGCGGGAGAUGAGUUUCGUCGUCGAAAGGGAAACAGCCCAGACCAUCGGCUAAGGUCCUCAAAUCCAUGCUAAGUGGGAAACGAGGUGAGGUUACUCGAACAACCAGGAGGUUGGCUUAGAAGCAGCCACCCUUUAAAAAGUGCGUAAUAGCUUACUGGUCCAGUGACCUUGCGCGGAAAAUUUAACGGGGCUAAGCAUGGUACCGAAGCCAUGGAUCCCAGCUUUUGCUGGGAUGGUAGGGGAGCGUUCCGCCAGCGGUGAAGGUCGACCGAUAAGGGCGGCUGGAGCGGGCGGAAGUGAGAAUGCAGGCAUGAGUAGCGUAAAACACGUGAGAACCGUGUUCGCCGUAAGUCUAAGGUUUCCGACGCCAGGUCAUUCCGCGUCGGGUUAGUCGAGCCCUUAGCCGAGGCCGAAAGGCGUAGGUGAUGGACAUCCGGUCAACAUUCCGGAACCACCUGGAAGGAGCGAUGGGAGGACGCAGCGAGGUAGGCCAGCCUGUUAUUGGAUUCAGGUUCUAAACGUCUAGGCGUUGAGACCGGCAGGAAAAUCCGCCGGUUGAGCUGAAGCGUGAUGGCGUGCCCCUGAGGCGCAAGUGGCUGAGCCUUGCUGCCGAGAAAAGUCUCUAAGCGUUGAUAUUCAGGUGCUCGUACCGCAAACCGACACUGGUAGACGGGUAGAGUAUACCAAGGCGAACGGGAGAACUAUCGUUAAGGAACUAGGCAAAUUUGCCCCGUAACUUCGGGAUAAGGGGUGCCUUCUGGGGUGUAUGCCCUGGGAGGCCGCAGUGAAAUGGCUCUAGUGACUGGUUAACAAAACCACAGGUCUCUGCUAAGCCGAAAGGCGAUGUAUAGGGGCUGACACCUGCCCAGUGCCGGAAGGUUAAGGGGAGAGGUUAGGCGCAAGCCGAAGCUUUGAACCGAAGCCCCGGUGAACGGCGGCCGUAACUAUAACGGUCCUAAGGUUUGUUAUUCGCGAGCCUUAGUAAAACUGAACUAUAUGCGGGAAACUCCUCACACAGCCGGUCGGUACUCGUCUGUCAACCUGACAGGCAGUAAAAAUCCGCCGGACACGGGGACAAUCCGCAGGGAAGGCUUCCUAUGAGCGAAAGUGAAAGACAACAGGAAGAACCCUCAGAGACUUUACGUUCAGUCUCGUCUCAGAGGUUGGAAGCUCAAUGGGUCGUUGGUUUUGUCGAUGGGGAAGGGUGUUUCUACAUAGGCAUCAAUUCGCAGCCUGAAAUGAGUGCUGGUUACCAGGUGCUGCCGGAGUUUACAGUCGUGCAACACGAGCGCGAUAUACAACUUCUGUAUGCCCUGAAACAGUUCUUUGGUUGUGGAGUGGUGCGUAGAAAUCACGCAGAGCGGAUGGCUUACCGGGUGAGAAACGCUGAACACUUACGUGAGCGCGUCCUCCCGUUCUUCGAGAAACAUCCGCUGAAAUCGAAGAAACGCCUCGAUUUCCUGAAAUUCAGGAAGGUGUUACUCCUGAUGGAGCGAGGCGAACAUCUGACCCCCGAAGGCAUUCAACGAAUCAGAGCAAUAGCCUCACAGAUGAACAAAGGGCGAGAAAGAUAAAGUCCGGCUCCUCUGGAAACAGAGUGAGAUGUACCGAGCGAAAUUCCUUGUCGGGUAAGUUCCGACCCGCACGAACGGUGUAACAACUAGAGCACUGUCUCAACGAUAGACCCGGUGAAAUUGAAAUGGCUGUGAAGAUGCGGCCUACCCGCAGCAGGACAAAAAGACCCCGUGGAGCUUUACUGCAGCUUGGCAUUGCAUUUGGGUAUGGUUUGUGUAGGAUAGGUGGGAGGCUUUGAAGCUGGGGCGCUAGCCUCGGUGGAGCCAACGGUGAAAUACCACCCUGACCAUGCUUAGAUCCUAACCCC